rnacentral:rRNA from 1 species
CUCCUACGGGAGGCAGCAGUGGGGAAUCUUGCACAAUGGAGGAAACUCUGAUGCAGCGAUGCCGCGUGAGUGAAGAAGGCCCUUGGGUUGUAAAGCUCUUUCGUCGGGGAAGAAAAUGACUGUACCCGAAUAAGAAGGUCCGGCUAACUUCGUGCCAGCAGCCGCGGUAAUACGAAGGGACCUAGCGUAGUUCGGAAUUACUGGGCUUAAAGAGUUCGUAGGUGGUUGAAAAAGUUAGUGGUGAAAUCCCAGAGCUUAACUCUGGAACUGCCAUUAAAACUUUUCAGCUAGAGUAUGAUAGAGGAAAGCAGAAUUUCUAGUGUAGAGGUGAAAUUCGUAGAUAUUAGAAAGAAUACCAAUUGCGAAGGCAGCUUUCUGGAUCAUUACUGACACUGAGGAACGAAAGCAUGGGUAGCGAAGAGGAUUAGAUACCCUCGUAGUCCAUGCCGUAAACGAUGUGUGUUAGACGUUGGAAAUUUAUUUUCAGUGUCGCAGGGAAACCGAUAAACACACCGCCUGGGGAGUACGACCGCAAGGUUAAAACUCAAAUGAAUUGACGGGGACCCGCACAAGUAGUGGAGCAUGUGGUUUAAUUCGAAGAUACGCGCAGAACCUUACCAACACUUGACAUGUUCGUCGCGACUCUAAGAGAUUAGAGUUUUCGGUUCGGCCGGACGAAACACAGGUGCUGCAUGGCUGUCGUCAGCUCGUGUCGUGAGAUGUUGGGUUAAGUCCCGCAACGAGCGCAACCCUCACUUUUAGUUGCCAUCAUUAAGUUGGGCACUCUGAAAGAACUGCCAGUGAUAAGCUGGAGGAAGGUGGGGAUGACGUCAAGUCCUCAUGGCCCUUACGUGUUGGGCUACACACGUGCUACAAUGGCAUCUACAACAGGAAGCAAAACGGCAACGUUAAGCAAAUCCCGAAAAGAUGCCUCAGUUCGGAUUGCACUCUGCAACUCGAGUGCAUGAAGCUGGAAUUACUAGUAAUCGUGGAUC